rnacentral:rRNA from 1 species
GAUGAACGCUGGCGGCGUGCCUAACACAUGCAAGUCGAGCGAAGCGCCUUACUUGAUUUCUUCGGGAUGAAAGUAUUGUGACUGAGCGGGCGACGGGUGAAGGUACGCGUAGGUAUAACCUGCCUCAUACAGGGGGAUAACAGUUAGAAAUGACUGCUAAUACCGCAUAAGACCACAGCACCGCAUGGUGCAGGGGUAAAAGGAGCAAUUCGCUUUGGGAUGGACUCGCGUCCGAUUAGCUAGAUGGUGAGGUAACGGCCCACCAUGGCGACGAUCGGUAGCCGGACUGAGAGGUUGAUCGGCCACAUUGGGACUGAGACACGGCCCAG